rnacentral:tRNA from 1 species
GAUUUUAUAGUUAAAAAUUUUAUAACAUUAGAAUGCAACUCUAAAAUUAUAUAUUUAUUUAUAUUAAGAUUU